rnacentral:rRNA from 1 species
CCUACGGGCGGCAGCAGUGAGGAAUAUUGGUCAAUGGCCGGAAGGCUGAACCAGCCAUGCCGCGUGAAGGUCAGUGCCCUAUGGGCGUUAAACUUCUGUUGUUCGGGAGCAAUAAUGGUCACGUGUGGCCAGACGAGAGUACCGUACGAAUAAGCAUCGGCUAACUCCGUGCCAGCAGCCGCGGUAAUACGGGGGAUGCAAGCGUUAUCCGGAUUUAUUGGGGUUAAAGGGUGCGUAGGCUGGGUGGUAAGUCAGCGGUGAAAUGCCCCCGCUCAACGGGGUGAAGUGCCAUUGAUACUGCCUUGCUGGAGUGCGGAUGACGUGGGAGGAAUGUGUGGUGUAGCGGUGAAAUGCAUAGAUAUCACACAGAACACCGAUUGCGAAGGCAUCUCACGAAUCCGCGAUUGACGCUGAUGCACGAAAGCGUGGGUAUCAAACAGGAUUAGAUACCCUAGUAGUC